ensembl:lncRNA TTC28-AS1 TTC28 antisense RNA 1
AAGCUCGACGCGCGCACUCUUGUCUGCUUACGAGGGCUCCUCCCUUCAGCUUUGGUCCCUCGGGGCGUCUGGGCAGCCUACGCUUUCCGACUGGAAUCAGCCAUUUUACCAAGAAAGUUGGGUUUCUUUUACUGGCAAAUAGUACUUCAAGAGCACAGUCUUAUGUAAGGGAGCUGUACCAAGUUAUUUUGGGUCAGAAUUCUCCUGGGAUAUCUUUUUUCUUCGCCUUUUUAAACUCGUUUAUUAUAAAAACAAUGUUACCAUAUGCAAAACUAGAAGAGUGUAAUGAAUUCCCGUGUGUCCAUCAUCUAUCUUUAACAGCAUGACCCAUCUGCCUGGCACCAGCACCUGGGGCUGCCAGGCAGCCACCCCUGCAGCUGUGUUGACAGGACCUGGCAGAGGGACUGACCCACCUUUGGAAAAUGACACCAGCAAUAUCAGGAUGUGUCAACUGGAUUUAUGCUAAGAAAAUAGGAUUUUUGGUGUUCCUCUGUUUCCCAAAGUUUGAGACACUUUCAGACACUCUGCUUUGCGGUUGUGGCCGAUGUUACCCAUGGGUGGGACUUUUGCUUUGCUCUAGAUUUUUGUAACACCCUGGGGAGUUUCAGGGGCCAAUGCUGAGAGAAGACCACAGGCUGACACAUCAUGAGGUAUGUUGGUAAAACAGUCCCGGCUGGCCGAGAGGCCACUGAGGGAACAGGCCCAGGGUUUGGUUUGUACUCUGUGAGUCUUGGCCUGGCAGGGUUUCCUGCAAAGCAGAGUCCUCUGAGUGGGACCCCAGGGGAAGCAGGUUGUUGCCUGGAGCUGAGGGGCAGCUCUGUAUUCAGGAGGGGUGCCUGCCUUCCCAUCUCCCCUGUGACCAGAUGUCACAGAAACAUUCUCUCUUUACUCCCUAGACCCUCUGGGCAGGUCCACUAAGAGCAUGUAUUCUAGAACAUGCAGGGCUUGAAGCUUCACAAGAUAUUCAGUGCACUCCUUACAGAUCCUGUCAAAUGUGGACCGGGUGGUGUCAUCGCACCACCAUCAUCCCCUUGUUACCCCUGAGAACACAGCUUCAGAGAGGGUAAGUAACCUAUCUCAGGCCACACAGCCAGGACAUGGAGUAGAUCCAUCCUAAGUCUUUCUACCACACACUCCUUUCUACAGUCAUGGGUUAAAUGAGGGUGCCAUGGAAUGGGUCAUCCAGUGUACACUGACAUCAGGAGGAGUUUCACAUUCAUACACUCAUGGCAAAUGGUUCUGUUGCUCCCUGGUCCAAAGAUGAUCUUAAUAGUAGGAAAAACUCAUUUGGCAGAAGCAAGACUCAGCACACAGGCUCUCUCCCUGAGUCUUCUGUGGCUGGCCUUGCCCUGCCCUCCCCUCCCCAACCCCACUGGCAGAAUAAAGUCGGGGGGCUGUGAGGACUGAGCCCCAGGCCUUGACAGGCACCCGCAGCCAGCCGAACUCCCACCUGCCCAGUUGGAGGGGUGCGAGAAGGCCUUGCUGCUCUGCACCACCUUCAUGGCCUCCCCCAGGGCGGCGCUGGCUUUCAGGCCGUUCAGCAGGGAUGAGUAGAAGGCAUGGAUGAACAUCUUAGAAGCAGCCACUGGCACAGGCCACAGAGACACGAGGACACACUGAGCGCCGGCAGCCAGGAAGGCCCUUGUCAGCGCGAUGACCCCGUCGGCUGUGACUUUGCUGUUGGACUCCUGGGAGGAGCCAAGCACCACCAGCUUCACAGGCAGCUGCAGGUCCAGGACGUCGGCGGCAGUGCCUAACUUACUGAGAAUCAUGCCUGCUGUGAUGAGCCCUUGGAAACCAUCAGGACUGGAUGGUAGGGGUCCUGAGAGGAUUGGGGGAGGAGGCCUUGAUAUGACAGAGUGGACAGAGGCCGUGGAACCCAGGACAGCCAGCCUGCUCCACAAUCCUCAUCCCCACAGACCUUCAUGUGUGGCUCCUAAAUAAGAGGAAACCCACUCCUGAUAAGUCAGGGGCUUUGAAAAGUGAUUUUGUUUAAAUGGUGCAAACAAGCAAGCCAAUCUUGGGGAGACAGGGCUAAACUUAAGUCCUUUAAGAAGCUCUACAUACUGACAAGAUUCUAGUUCCCUUCCACCUUAUAUGCUGCAAAGUAAAAAGUAUCACUGAAUGAGAAAAUCAGCAUAAAGAAGCCCAAUAAUGUCUGCCUGAGUUUCCCCUAUGAUGACUUUUGGUACUUUUUGGGAAACAUUAAGUAUGAAGUUAUUUCAAAAUAAUUUUUUGGUGCCUCUGCUUGGUGAUGCCUUAAACUCUGGGUAAGAGAAACACCAGGUGCCUGUCAGGAGAUGGCCUUUUCCAGGUUUCUGGUUAAGCUACAAACAGCUAACUGGCUGCUGUCAUCAAAAUAAAAGCUUUCUGAAGGUGGAGGCAUCUGAUACCCAGAGUGCUGCUAUCAGCCGGCACGGUGGGCCGCUGGGUGGCAGGAGCGUCGAGAAGGCCAGCUCGCUUCCUAUCUGGGAUUCAGAAUCAGCUAUGGAAACUUGAGAGACCUAGAGAAAAUAACUUCUUUCACUUUGAACUGAUUCUUUGCUUCAUAAGAAAAGUAUUAUCCAGCCACAAAAAUGGUCAAAAUUCAGAUCUACAAAAGCCUGUCAGGCAGAAACUGACCCCACUUAGGCCACGCCAAUGAGCAAGUCAUCAAAGCAGCCAAGACAGGUCCUGUGGGGGCCACCCAUGCACAGGGCCCAGCCUCGGGUCCUAACCCCGCCUAUGCUUUCCGCCACCAUAAAGAGGCCCAUCUGGUUCCACUGGCCUGUCGGGCUGUUUUCUACUCAACUCCACUCUUGCUUGUCUGCCCUCCCUGCCUGGGGCCCAGCCAGCAGUCAGCUCAAGGGCCAGAUGAAUUGGGUGGCUGUGCUCUGCCCACUGGGCAUCGUGUGGAUGGUGGGUGACCAGCCCCCUCAGGUGCUCAGCCAGGCCUCAAGCCUUGCUGUGUACCUCAGAGCAGCUCCGUACCCUGAUGUCACAGCAAAGAAACUUAGACAUGACACAAACUGUGGCUUCCCAAGGCAGCAAAGAAUGGCCAGGGGUCAUGAGGGCCGUGCCCCACUUUUGGACAGACCUACUCUAAAGUCACGCUACCUGCGUGCAAAUCAUAAAAUCAACACUUUUGAGGAGAUCACAGCUAUGCCUUCGUAACACAGCCCAGUCCGACCAGAUAGACGGUGCCUCGUGACCCGAAAACAAGCCCCCGGCCCCCCACCAUGUGUGUGAGCCUUACCUUGGACUGCACGCUGAGGGAGCGGAUGGAAGGGACAGCAAGGAGGCCGAAGCGCUCGUAGAGGUACUCAUUGGAGGAGCUUCCCUUCAGGAGGGCGAAAGGAAUGAGGUAGAGCUCCCCCUCCAGAACCAGGAUGAGCUGCCGGUGCCGGCCCACGGGGCCGCUGGAGUGCAUCAGGCCCUAUGGAGCAAGCACGGAGAGGCUGACAUGGGUGGCCCAGCAGGCAGGGGUUUCAGGCACCAGGACAACCCUGAGCCCUAGCCUGGAUGACACAAGCACGAGCAGAACAAGGCUAAGGGCGCGGGCAUCUUAAUGAGAGCAGCAGGCAACAAUCCUGGAAGCUGGGUCCACACAGACUGCGGUGAACAAAGAGGUGGCGUGGAAGCUGCUGCUGCAGCCCAGAGCCUGCCAAGAAGGUCCCAGGUCCACAGGGCCUGCGCAACACUGGGUGCCAGGGGUGGGGCUGGCCUGCCCCCCAACCCCAUCUGCUGAGGAGUGGCUGACAAGCGGACACCCACCAGGGUGCCACUCGCUUGUGCCUGGGGAAGCAAAUGUGCUCGCUUGACCCGUCUGAUGUGCUGCCGUGGGCACUUGACUGAGAGUGGCAGAGCACUAGGCUAACCCAAAGUGACACAUGCCUGGCGGGAUGUUCAGUCUCUGUAAACCCAUAUGGUUUUUUUUUUUCUUUCCUUUAAAAAAAAUUUCUAGC